GGCGCUUGACUAUCAUUUUGUUCGUCAUAUGGUUCAGUCAAAGUUCCUCAGAGUCACUCAUGUAUCUUCUAAAGAUCAGCUAGCCGAUAUACUUACUAAACUGUUACCUCGUCUGCCUCUACAACAACUCAAUUCCAAGAUUGGGCUCUCAUUCGGCCGCUCAUCUUGCGGGGGCGUAUAUGAGAUAAAUACAUGAGUAUUCUAGUUCUUUUAUAUAGAAGUAUCUUGUAUAUGCUCUGUAGAUAAGCUCUAGAGAUCCUACGUGAGCUCCUCUAGUAUAUAUAUAUAUAUAUAUAUAUAUAUUAUAUUCCUGUCUAUUAUCAAUACAACACAUUAUCCAUAUCUCUCUACGUCUUUUUGAGAACAGAUCAGUAGCACCUGCACCGGAAACAGUCCUUAAGGCAGUUCUUCGAGCCCUCGAAUGGCAGUCUGCUCAAGCUGAGGUACGACAGAACAGGCCUCCUCUUCACAUCUCAGCUCCGCCUCUCCUUGCAAUACCACCCGGAACAGUAUGGUGUGCGUGGCCUGAAACUGAUAACACCUGGGAGCUUCUAGAGAAUCUGCAGUCUAUUUCUGCUUCUAUAGAUGCAUUUGAAAAAUCUUAAGGCCAGGGAAGGCUGUUAAGAAGCGGAAGGGCCAGUAUGGAGGUUGUAAUUCUCAGUUGAAUAAGAAGAAGAAUCAGCAAGGGUUAGCAUCUACAUCAGAUGAUGCUUCGGAGAAAACCGAUCCGACACUCAACGAGUUAUGAGGACCAGUCAUUGGUUCUGAGGGUGAUAGUGCAAGAACAAAUGGCCUUCUAAAGGUUAAGCGUAAGAAGAUUCAUGAAAGAGGUGCUAAAGUCUGGUAUUGUGAAAAGAUACAUACCAGAUGAAACCACAAGUAACAACCAGAUAACAAAAGCUGCCGAUCAGAACGGGACACCAGACUUGGACAUCGUGAGGAUCAUCAAGGCAGU